rnacentral:rRNA from 1 species
UUUUAACUCGGGUUGAACGCACCUGUCUCAUCUGAUCUCAGAAGCUAAGCAGGGUCGGGCCUGGUUAGUACUUGGAUGGGAGAAAAUUUUAACUUAGGAGGCUUAGCAGGAUAAGGA